AAGGGGUGGGGUUUAGGUUUAAGGUUUAUGGUUUAGGGUUUAAGGUUUAGAAUUUUGGGUUUAGAGUUUAGAGUUGAGGAGUUGGAUUUUGGGGAUAGGAUUUCAAAUUUUAAAAAAUAAAAACAUAAAAAAAAAUUAAAAUUUUCAAAAUGCAAAAUGCUAUUUUUGUCAUUUUAGUUUUUGAGAUCUUUUCUGUGAUAAAAACUUAAAAUAUAAAUUU
rnacentral:lncRNA from 1 species